UAGCAUAUCAAUAAGCGGAGGAAAAGAAACUAACAAGGAUUCCCCUAGUAACUGCGAGUGAAGCGGGAAAAGCUCAAAUUUAAAAUCUGGCGGUCUCCGGCCGUCCGAGUUGUAGUCUGGAGAAGCGUUUUCCGCGUCGGCCCGUGUACAAGUUUCCUGGAACGGAGCGUCAUAGAGGGUGAGAAUCCCGUCUCUGACACGGACCGCCGAUGCUUUGUGAUGCGCUCUCGAAGAGUCGAGUUGUUUGGGAAUGCAGCUCAAAAUGGGUGGUGAAUUCCAUCUAAAGCUAAAUAUUGGCGAGAGACCGAUAGCGAACAAGUACCGUGAGGGAAAGAUGAAAAGCACUUUGGAAAGAGAGUUAAACAGUACGUGAAAUUGUUGAAAGGGAAACGCUUGAAGUCAGUCGCGUCUGCCGGGACUCAGCCUUGCAAUCUUGCUUGGUGUACUUUCUGGUGGACGGGCCAGCAUCAAUUUUGGUCGCCGGACAAAGGCUGGAGAAAUGUGGCACCUUCGGGUGUGUUAUAGUCUCUGGUCGCAUACGGCGGUCGGGAUUGAGGAACUCAGCAUGCCUUUAUGGUCGGGGUUCGCCCACGUUCAUGCUUAGGAUGCUGGCGUAAUGGCUUUAAACGACCCGUCUUGAAACACGGACCAAGGAGUCUAACAUGCCCGCGAGUGUUCGGGUGGAAAACCCGUGCGCGUAAUGAAAGUGAAAGUUGGGACCUCUGUCGUGGAGGGCACCGACGCCCGGACCAGAACUUCUGUGACGGAUCUGCGGUAGAGCGUGUAUGUUGGGACCCGAAAGAUGGUGAACUAUGCCUGAAUAGGGUGAAGCCAGAGGAAACUCUGGUGGACGCUCGUAGCGAUUCUGACGUGCAAAUCGAUCGUCAAAUUUGGGUAUAGGGGCGAAAGACUAAUCGAACCAUCUAGUAGCUGG
rnacentral:rRNA from 1 species